UCCGUACAUUUUUCCGCGCGCACGUGUCCGCGAUUCAUCGUCGAUCCGGCCGGCGAGACCGCUCUCACGCCAAUCGUCGAGCAAUUUUAAACCGCCGUUCCGUGCCGUUACCGUCCAAGGGUGGCCGCGUGUAACCCGCGCGGCGUCUUGUGUGUCGAGAUACCGCACGAUAAUACCUAAUGUUGUUAUUAUAACGACCGCAGCCGUGACGCCGACGACCAUGAGCCGUGCCUUCUAAAAUAACAUUAUUCCGCUA